UACAGAGGGGGCAAGCGUUGUUCGGAAUUACUGGGCGUAAAGCGUGCGUAGACGGCCUGUUAAGUCGGAUGUGAAAGCCCCGGGCUCAACCUGGGAAUGGCAUCCGAUACUGGUGGGCUGGAGUGCGGUAGAGGAGAGCGGAAUUCCCGGUGUAGCGGUGAAAUGCGUAGAGAUCGGGAGGAACAUCCGUGGCGAAGGCGGCUCUCUGGACCAGCACUGACGUUGAGGCACGAAAGCGUGGGGAGCAAACAGG
rnacentral:rRNA from 1 species